UACGAAGGGGGCUAGCGUUGCUCGGAAUCACUGGGCGUAAAGCGCACGUAGGCGGCCAUUCAAGUCAGAGGUGAAAGCCCAAGGCUCAACCUUGGAACUGCCUUUGAUAUCUGUUUGGCUUGAGACCGGUAGAGGUAAGUGGAACUGCGAGUGUAGAGGUGAAAUUCGUAGAUAUUCGCAAGAACACCAGUGGCGAAGGCGGCUUACUGGACCGGUUCUGACGCUGAGGCGCGAAAAGCGUGGGGGAGCAAACAGG
rnacentral:rRNA from 1 species